rnacentral:rRNA from 1 species
UACAGAGGGUGCAAGCGUUGUUCGGAAUUAUUGGGCGUAAAGGGCGCGUAGGCGGUCGUGACAAGUCACUUGUGAAAUCUCCGGGCUUAACUCGGAACGGUCAAGUGAUACUGUCGGACUAGAGUACAGAAGGGGCAACUGGAAUUCUCGGUGUAGCGGUGAAAUGCGUAGAUAUCGAGAGGAACACCUGCGGCGAAGGCGGGUUGCUGGGCUGAUACUGACGCUGAUGCGCGAAAGCCAGGGGAGCGAACGGG